rnacentral:tRNA from 1 species
UAGGCUGAAGCCCGCUGGAUUGGGUGUUUAGUUGUUAAUUAAAGUGUWACGGGAUCAAGGCCCGUCGRCCUAUG